AAAAUUUUAAGUUAAAAAAACUAUAAACCUUCAAAGUUUAAAACAUAUAUUAUUAUAUAUAAAUUUUA
rnacentral:tRNA from 1 species